AUUGAACGCUGGCGGCAGGCCUAACACAUGCAAGUCGAGCGGAUGAAGGGAGCUUGCUCCUGGAUUCAGCGGCGGACGGGUGAGUAAUGCCUAGGAAUCUGCCUGGUAGUGGGGGAUAACGUCCGGAAACGGGCGCUAAUACCGCAUACGUCCUGAGGGAGAAAGUGGGGGAUCUUCGGACCUCACGCUAUCAGAUGAGCCUAGGUCGGAUUAGCUAGUUGGUGGGGUAAAGGCCUACCAAGGCGACGAUCCGUAACUGGUCUGAGAGGAUGAUCAGUCAAAAUGGAAAUGAGAAAACGGCCAGAAUCCUAAGGGAGGGAAGAGGGGGGAAUAAUGGAAAAUGGGGGGAAGCCUGGACCAGGCAAGGCGGGGGGGUGAAAGAAGGCUUUCGAUUGGUAAAGAAUUUAAGGUGGGAAGAAAGGCAAGAAGGUAAUACCUUGCUGUUUUGACGUUACCAACAGAAUAAGCACCGGCUAACUUCGUG
rnacentral:rRNA from 1 species